rnacentral:rRNA from 1 species
UUUACUCCUACGGGAGGCAGCAGUGGGGAAUAUUGCACAAUGGGGGAAACCCUGAUGCAGCAACGCCGCGUGAGUGAUGACGGUCUUCGGAUUGUAAAGCUCUGUCUCAGGGACGAUAAUGACCUACCGAGAGAUGCAUUCCCCUCCU